CUUGGUAUAGGUAUUUUUUGAGUAGGAAUGUUGGGGAGUGAUCACUGAAGCUAUCUGAUAAGCAGCCUGUUAUAUAUGACUGGGGGCUCUUACUGACUAGUAUGCAAUCCAGGGUAGUGUGCUUGCUGGAGUUUUUAUGAC